AGGAUGAACGCUGGCGGCGUGCCUAACACAUGCAAGUCGAACGUCCUGUCUCGCAAGAGGCAGGGAGUGGCGGACGGGUGAGUACCACGUGGGUUAUCUACCGUGAGGUGAGGAAUACCGGCGAGAAAUCGCCGACAAGACCGCAUAGCCUCGGUGCAAGCCGAGGAAAGCUUUCUCGAGAGAGGGAGCGCCACACGAGGAGCCUGCGCCCGAUUAGCUAGCUGGUGGAGUAACGGUUCACCAGGGCGACGAUCGGUAGCUGGUCUGAGAGGACGAUCAGCCACACUGGGAUUGAGAACGGCCCAGACUCCUACGGGGGGCAGCAGUGAGGAAUUUCGUCAAUGGGGCAACCCUGAACGAGCAACGCCGCGUGCAGGAAGAAGGUUUUCGGAUCGUAAACUGCUUUUCGUCGGGGAAGAGAACGGACGGUACCCGAGGAAUCAGCCCCGGCUAACUACGUGCCAGCAGCCGC
rnacentral:rRNA from 1 species